CAGUUGCGCCUCGAGCACAAAGCGAACUAUUCUUUCGCCUUUUACUAAAGAAUACCGUGUGUUCGUUGCAUUCAAGCAACAUACUCAUAUUUUUUGAGGGCAUUCCUAAUAUUGGAAAC